UACAGAGACUGCAAGCGUUAUUCGGAUUCACUGGGCGUAAAGGGUGCGCAGGUGGCCAAGUGUGUCAGGUGUGAAAUCCCGGGGCUCAACCCCGGAACUGCGCCUGAAACUGCUUGGCUAGAGCAUUGGAGAGGGAAGUGGAAUUCACGGUGUAGCAGUGAAAUGCGUAGAUAUCGUGAGGAACACCAGAGGCGAAGGCGACUUCCUGGACAAUUGCUGACACUCAGGCACGAAAGCGUGGGUAGCCAAAGGGAUUAGAUACCCCUGUAGUCCACGCCCUAAACGGUGCAUACUAGGUCUUGGAGGAUUCGACCCCUUCAGGGCCCAAGCUAACGCGUUAAGUAUGCCGCCUGAGGACUACGGCCGCAAGGCUAAA
rnacentral:rRNA from 1 species